rnacentral:rRNA from 1 species
UAGGGAAUCUUCCGCAAUGGGCGAAAGCCUGACGGAGCAACGCCGCGUGAGUGAUGAAGGUCUUCGGAUCGUAAAACUCUGUUAUUAGGGAAGAACAAAUGUGUAAGUAACAAUGCACGUCUUGACGGUACCUAAUCAGAAAGCCACGGCUAACUACGUGCCAGCAGCCGCGGUAAUACGUAGGUGGCAAGCGUUAUCCGGAAUUAUUGGGCGUAAAGCGCGCGUAGGCGGUUUUUUAAGUCUGAUGUGAAAGCCCACGGCUCAACCGUGGGGGGUCAUUGGAAACUGGAAAACUUGAGUGCAGAAGAGGAAAGUGGAAUUCCAUGUGUAGCGGUGAAAUGCGCAGAGAUAUGGAGGAACACCAGUGGCGAAGGCGACUUUCUGGUCUGUAACUGACGCUGAUGUGCGAAAGCGUGGGGAUCAAACAGG